GUAACGGAGGAGCACGAAGGUUAGCUAAUCCUGGUCGGACAUCAGGAGGUUAGUGCAAUGGCAUAAGCUAGCUUGACUGCGAGCGUGACGGCGCGAGCAGGUGCGAAAGCAGGUCAUAGUGAUCCGGUGGUUCUGAAUGGAAGGGCCAUCGCUCAACGGAUAAAAGGUACUCCGGGGAUAACAGGCUGAUACCGCCCAAGAGUUCAUAUCGACGGCGGUGUUUGGCACCUCGAUGUCGGCUCAUCACAUCCUGGGGCUGAAGUAGGUCCCAAGGGUAUGGCUGUUCGCCAUUUAAAGUGGUACGCGAGCUGGGUUUAGAACGUCGUGAGACAGUUCGGUCCCUAUCUGCCGUGGGCGCUGGAGAAUUGAGGGGGGCUGCUCCUAGUACGAGAGGACCGGAGUGGACGCAUCACUGGUGUUCGGGUUGUCAUGCCAAUGGCACUGCCCGGUAGCUAAAUGCGGAAGAGAUAAGUGCUGAAAGCAUCUAAGCACGAAACUUGCCCCGAGAUGAGUUCUCCCUGAGACUAUAAGUCUCCUGAAGGAACGUUGAAGACGACGACGUUGAUAGGCCGGGUGUGUAAGCGCAGCGAUGCGUUGAGCUAACCGGUACUAAUGAACCGUGAGGCUUAACCUUACAACGCCGAAG
rnacentral:rRNA from 1 species